AGACCAUGAGCUUCGUGCUCUGGAUGAAAACCAGCGACUGGCAAAGAAGAAAGCUGACCUUUAUGAUGAAGAAGAUGAACAGGAUAUAUUGCUGGCCCAAGAUUUGGAAGAUAUGUGGGAGCAGACAUUUCUACAGUUCAAACUUGGAGCUCGCAUAACAGAAGCUGAUGAAAAGAAUGACCGAACAUCCCUGAACCGGAAGCUAGACAGGAACCUUGUCCUGUUAGUCAGAGAGAAGUUUGGAGACCAGGAUGUUUGGAUACUGCCCCAGACAGAGUGGCAGCCUGGGGAGACCCUUCGAGGAACAGCUGAACGAACCCUGGCCACACUCUCAGGUGGGUUUUCUGCCUUCCUCUAAAUUCCACAAAAUUCACUUCAGACUCAGCCAGAGGAUUUUUAGGCUGACUGGGGAAUUGGAUUAAGGGUGGGGGUGAGAAGGUUAAUGGAAAUUUUGAAGUUUAUAAAAAUUUCAGCCAGAAAAACCCAGGUAAGGAUUUUUUUAUUUUUAUUUUUAUUUUUAGACCAAGCGAGAAUCCUUUGUUCCACUGAGAUUUUAAAAUUUAGUACAUUCAAAAUUGAUAUUUCUACCAUUUUCUCAUCCUGCUUGUCUUCUUAUCUUUGCAGCACUGCUUAUUGCCAUCACUGCUUAUCUAUUCACUCAACUUGAAACCUCAGAAUUAUCCUUGACCUCAUUCCCACAGCCAUAAGUCCUUGAGUCCCGUGUGAUCUGUUCUAAAUAGUCCCCUCUUUGUUCUAACAGCUUUAGCUGUGACCCUCUUCACUUCUCACUAGACUAGGGUUUCCCCUCUUUGGCAUUAUUGGUGUUUGGGGUCGGAUAAGUGUGGGGAGCUAUUCUUUGCAUUAUAGGAUGUUUAGCAGUAUCUCUGGCCUCUACCUACUAGAUGCCAGUAGCACUACCUCAUCCCCAGACCCCACCCCCAGUGCAACAAUCAAAAAUAUCUCUAGACAUGGCCAGAUAUUACCCAGGGAGCAAAUUACAGUGGUUGAGAAGCACUAUACUGAGUUAUUGAAUUAGAUGCCAAGUAAGUUUAACCUUGGUUUUGUGGAGUGCCCUUCAGUGCUGCCAAAAUGAGCUUUCUGAAACACAAAUCCCGUGUCACUUCUCUGCAUAGAAUUCUUAAAAGGUUUCCCAUAAAAAUUCUAACUGUCAAGCAUGGCCUGCAAAUCUUAUUUGCCUUGAUCCCAGUCUCAUCAGUCUUCCGUCUUGCUGUUCAUUAAUGUAAAAUUCAAGUUCUAACUUAAUAAACCUUUUGCAUUCCUUGAAUAAUAUGGUCUUUCAUGUGUCUCUGCUUUGGGGCCUGCUGGUCCCUGAUGAAAUACUUUACUCCUUUCUGGCCUGACUGCUCAGUUUUUAAGACAGUUCAUACAUUAUACCUUAUGUAGUGAAACCUUUCCUGAGCCUUUAGGAAGACAGAGCCACUCCUCUCUCUAGGCUCCCAUAGCACUGGUGUGUGUCCUUAUUCCACUUAUGCAACAGACAUAUAGGGUCUCAAUGAUGAACAGGACCCUACCCUACUCCCUAGGAGCUUGUGUUCUAGUGGAGAAUACAUUUUUUCACUUAUGCCAUUGCACUAUAAUUGUUUACUAACACAUUUUUCUCCCUAUUUAGACUUUUGACUUCCUUGAACAUAUGGGCAGUAUCUGUUCCUCUCUCUGAUCCUAGCUUUCAGCAAAGUACCUGGCACAUAGGCAUUUGUUGAAUGUUGACUAAAUGGAUUUGGUGGUGCGCAGCCACUUUACCUGCCCUCCCAUCAGCACAGGUACCUGCUAACGAAAUGUCAGCAGCCAGUGUGUGUUCCCUUGACUCUCCCAAGGGGCCUGUGUGGCCUGCAGGAGAGACAUCAAGACUGAAUGGAAUAUGGUAGGAGGGGAGGUUGCUGCUUUCUCCGUCUCCUCAGCCAUCACAUAGGAGUCAGCAGCUGAGUUUCUUGUGAGGAUCAUUGUGUUCAGGUGCUCAACUUCUCUUACUGUCAGACAUUCACAACUGAUCCUUGCUCAGCUCCCCUUUCUGUUUGCAAUGAGGAAAGGGGUUCCACCCGAGCACUAUGCUUUCCUUUAAACGUUGCCAUUGUAAUAAAUAAAUGUAAAAGGAAAUAUAUCAAAUAUGUUAAAACACAUAUUUAUGUUUAAUAGAUGCAUGUAAAAUAGUGUAUUGACUUAUUACAAAUUUACUAAACUGACAAAUAAUAUAAAAUGGCAAAGAAAAACUCAAGCAAUGUAAGAGUAUAUACUGUAUUUUAAAAAGUGAAAGUGCACUCCUUUCCUCACCACUGGCUCCACACUUCCAGUAUUUCUGCAGAUGGAAUUUCUAGAGGUAGAAUUAAUGGGUUAAAGGUGUGCACACUUCAGUUUUUGGUAAGUGCAGCCCAGUUGCCCUCCAGAAUGUAUAUAACAAUUGACGUUUUCCAGGAGUGGUGUCUGAGAGUGCCUCUUUGUCUAAACCUCACCAACAUAUGAAAUAGUCGCUUUUAAAAUUUUGCUCGUCUAGUGAGUCAAAUGAUCUCUUUCAGAUUAGCAUUUUCCUGUUUGCUAGUGAGAUUCACUAUCUUUUCAUGUGUUUAUUGGCUGUUUGUACUUCUUCUUUUGUGAACUGCCUAUUUAGAUCGUUUGCUCAUCUUUGUAAUAAGCUGUUUUUCUUUUUAAUUUGUUUAUAUUUUUAAUCCAUCUUUUCCAGAUUAUAGAAAAGUAACAUGCAUUUAUGGGAUUAAGUUUAGAAAAUUCAGGAAAGUGUAAAGAAAUAUGCCAAUACAAUUCCACCACUCACAGAUACCCACUGCUAACAUUUUUUACUUUAUGUGAGCUCACACUAUCUAUAAAUUUUUCAUCUAAUGCUAGUAGUGUUUUUUUUUUUUUAGUAUGAGAAAAGCCAUUCACGUAUGUGAUAAAAAAAUUAUCAGUGUCUAGUAAAUGUAGUGUAAGAUGUAAUUUUCCUUUUUCAGAAGCAACCUCUAUUAAUAGUGUUUUUCUGUAUCUUUUCAGAAAUUCUCUAUGCAUAUACAAAUGCAUAAAUGUUUUGUUUUGUUUUUUUGCGUAUAAUGGGAACACGUUUAUACACUGUUAUGUGCCUUCCUUUUUUCUCAUAUACGCUUUUAAACAUCUUUUCGGAUCAGCCUAUUAAGACCUAUCUUAAGCUUUUUUAACACCAGCAUACUAUUUUAUAAUAUGUAUGUAAUGCAGUUUGUUUAGCCAGUCUGUUUUUACAAACAAAGCUGCAGCGAAUAUCCUUGUAUGCUCAUCUUUGCUCACAUGGGCAAAUUAGUAUAUCUGGUAGGAUAAAAGUCUAGAACUGGAGUUGCUAGGUCAAAGGGCAUGUGCAAUUAAAUUGACACCUCUUGCCAAUUAAUAGCAGUUGUACUAAUUUAUAACCCCUCCAAAAUAUGUGUGAAAGUACAGGUUUUUUCCUUAUCCUUCAUAAGCAGUGUACAGUUAAGUUUUUGAACUUCACUAAUAAUGAUAUAUGUUGUUGUUUAACUUUAUUUCUUUAAAUUAUUAAUCAGAUUGAACACCUUUUAAUGUAUUUAUGGGCCAGUGAUAUUUAUUUUCAUGUGAGCUUAACUGUUCAUGUGCUUGGUUCAUUUUUCUUUUUAAUUUGUUGUUUUUUUUCCUCAUUGAUUUUUUUUUCUUUUAGAGAUGGAAUCUUGCUAUGUUGCCCAGGCUGGCCUUAAACUCCUCUUCUCAAGCAGUACUCCUGCCUCAGCUUCCUGAGUAUCUGCAUUGAUUUUUAAGUGCUUCUUAUACCUUAAGAUAUUCCUUUGUUGAAUGUGUUGAAAAUAUUUUUCCUAGUUUGUCAUUUUGUCUUUGACUUUUUUUGUGCUUCAUUUUUCCUUGCAGAAAGAUUUAAUUUUUAUGUAGACAAAUAUAAAUCUUUUGUUUUUUAGGCUUAAAAAUUUUGUUUCUUGCUUAGAAAGGCCUUGCCCUCUCAAAUAAUAUCUUAAGGUUUAAGAAAGCAUCCUGCAUUUUCUUCUAAUGCUCAUAUGUUUUUAUUGUAAUUAGAAAAUACGCCCAGCACUUUGGGAGGCCAAGGCAGGUGGAUCACUUGAGGCCACAAGUUCAAGACCAGCUUGACCAACAUGGCAAAACCCCAUCUGUACUAAAAAUACAAAAAAAAAAAUUAGCUGAGUAUGGCGGCACAUGCCUGUAAUCCCAGCUACUCAGGAGGCUGAGGCAUGAGAAUCCUUUGAACCCGGGAGCCUGAGGUUGUAGUGAACCACGAUUGCACGACUGCACUCCAGCCUGGGUGACAAAGCGAGUCUCUGUCUUGGGGAAAAAAAAUACAGAGAAGAUUGGAAAAUAUUAAAUGUCCAUGAAACAACCAUUUAGUAAUUAGUCCAUCAUUUCCCCAUCGUUUGAAAUGCUGGAUUGGGGUUAUUAACCCUUAGUUAUAGAUUACAGAUAUUGUCUCCUCAUCUGUUUUUGUCUUUAACUUUGUUUAUGACUUUUUUCACUUGGUAGGAGUUAAAACUGGGGUCUUUUUUAAUGCUUUCCACGUGACACCCUUUUUAAAGGUGGAUGAACUUUGUUUUACAGACCCAAUGUCCUGGUCGUCACCAACAGAUGGUGACUGGGCUGAACGUAGGAACUAGGUGCUCUGACUCCCAGGUGUGAUUGUAACUGUGUUGCUGACUUUCAGUCUAAAAACAGUAGCUUGGCAUAUGGGAAUGAGCCCAGUGAAUCUGGGCUCCAUGGGCCAGGAAGCAUUUGGAUUGAGAGGGGAGGAGGCUCUUUUCAGGAAUGGCUCUAGUCCUGUUCCUAGGGAUUAAUUUUACCUCAGGGCCAGAUCUUGCAGAGACCUCCUAUAAUUUUGGGAGCCAGAGUAAACAGAUGGCUGUAUCCUUACCUUCCAAUUGUGAUUUUUCUUUUCCUCCCUCUUCAGAAAACAACAUGGAAGCCAAGUUCCUAGGAAAUGCACCCUGUGGGCACUACACAUUCAAGUUCCCCCAGGCAAUGCGGACAGAGAGUAACCUCGGGGCCAAGGUGUUCUUCUUCAAAGCACUGCUAUUAACUGGAGACUUUUCCCAGGCUGGGAAUAAGGGCCAUCAUGUGUGGGUCACUAAGGAUGAGCUGGGUGACUAUUUGAAGCCAAAAUACCUGGCCCAAGUUAGGAGGUUUCUUUCGGACCUCUGAUGGGCCGAGCUGCCUGUGGAUGGUGCUCAGACAAGUCUGGGAUUAGAGCCUCAAGGACAUUGUGUGAUUGCCUCACAUUUGCAGGUAAUGUCAAGCAGCAAACUAAAUUCUGAGAAAUAAAUGAGUCUAUUACUGU
rnacentral:sRNA from 1 species